rnacentral:rRNA from 1 species
AUGCGGCCAUCCAUCAUAAGUAGCUCGUCAGGGGAACCCAUUGAGGCAGCAGCAGCCAUUGAAUUGUCUCGCCAGACAAGCGCUAUGGCUAAACCCAGCACACAGAGAGAUAGCCAGCAGCAGCAGCAGCAGGCCAUGGAGAACGGCGAGGGGGCGUACGCGCAGGACGGCUCCGUCGACCUCCGCGGCAACCCCCUCCUCCGCUCCAAGCGCGGCGGCUGGACCGCCUGCGCCUUCAUCGUCGUGUACGAGCUUUUCGAGAGGAUGGCGUACUACGGCAUCGCGUCCAACCUGGUGAUGUACAUGACCAACAGGCUGCACCAGGGGACGGUGGAGGCGUCCAACAACGUCACCAACUGGUCCGGCACCGUCUUCCUCACGCCGCUCAUCGGCGCCGUCGUCGCCGACGCCUACCUCGGCCGCUACUGGACCUUCGUCGCCGGCUCCGCCAUCUACCUCAUGGGCAUGAUCCUGCUGACGCUGUCAGUCACCGUGCCGGCGCUGAAACCGCCGGCGUGCGACGGCGCCACCUGCCCGCGCGCCUCCGCGCUGCAGCUGGGCGUCUACUUCGGCGGGCUGUACACCAUCGCGCUGGGCCACGGCGGUACCAAGCCCAACAUCUCCACCAUCGGCGCCGACCAGUUCGACGACUUCGACCCGGCGGAGAAGCUGCACAAGCUCUCCUUCUUCAACUGGUGGAUGUUCACCAUCUUCCUGGGCAUCCUCUUCUCCAGCACCGUCCUCGUCUACCUCCAGGACAACGUCAGCUGGACGGUCGGCUACGGCAUCCCCACGCUCGGGCUACUGGUCUCCGUCGCCAUCUUCCUUGCUGGCACGCCGCUGUACCGCCACAAGGCGCCACAGGGCAGUCCGUUCACGAGCAUGGGAAGGGUUGUCGCGGCGGCCGUGUGGAAGCGCGGCAUGGCGCUGCCCGACGACGCCAAGGAGCUCCACGAGCUAGAGCUGGAGCACUACACGAGCAGGAGGAGGUUCCGCAUGGACGCCACCGACUCCAUGAGGUUCCUCAACAAGGCGGCGGUCAAGGUAAAUCCCGGGGACGCCAACGGCGGGUCGGCGCCGGCCCGGCUUCCCCCGUGGACUCUGUGCACGGUGACGCAUGUGGAGGAGACGAAGCAGAUCGCUAAGCUUGUGCCGCUGCUGUUCACCUUGGUCGUCCCGUGCACGCUCGUCGCGCAGGCGAACACGCUCUUCGUCAAGCAGGGCGCGACGCUGGACCGGCGCCUGGGCGCGUUCCUGGUGCCCCCGGCGAGCCUCGGCGCGUUCAUCACGCUUACCAUGCUCAUCUGCGUCGCGCUCUACGACCGCGUCUUCGUGCCCGCCGUCCGGAGGCGCACCAAGAACCCGAGGGGGAUCACGCUGCUUCAGCGGAUCGGGGCCGGGAUGCUGCUCCAGGUGGUGACCAUGGUGGUCACGGCAGGGAUCGAGAACCGGAGGCUGAGCUUCGCGAGGGGCCAUGGACCUGACGCCGCUGGCGUGCUUCCCCUGACCAUCUUCGUGCUGCUGCCGCAGUUCGUGCUCUUGGGCGCCGCCGACGCGCUCCUGGUAGUGGGGCAGGUGGAGUUCUUCUAUGACCAGGCGCCGGAGAGCAUGAAGAGCCUUGGCACGGCGCUGUCCCUCGUAGCCUAUGGCGCCGGAAACGUGCUCAGCAGCGCCAUCCUCUCCCUGGUCGGGCGUGUUACUGCGAAGAGGGGGAGCCCGUGGGUGACCAACAAUCUCAAUGCCUCGCGGCUCGACUACUACUACGCGCUCCUCACCGUGCUCGCCGCGGUGAACUUGUCGGUGUUCCUUGCGCUGAGCGGAAGGUACAAGUACCGAUCGGAGUCGAGGGAGACGAUUGAUGUCGACGUGCAGGGCGGCCCGGUUAGGCUUCAUUCAGAGCCAGCGCCAGUGGCAUGA